ACAGGUAAACAACACAAGACAAAUAAGAGAAUGUUGUGACGUUUUGAGGGCUGAGUUUUUUAAGUAUUGGAAAAUGAAGAAUACUGGCUCCUUCUCCUUGUUUUUCAAUGUCAGCUUCAUUAUUAAAUGUUUUCUGAAACCAUAUCAGGUCACAUGACAGCAAAUGAGUCCCAUGGGUUGUGUAACUGCAGUCUGAGUGCACGCGGAGCACCCUCACAGUCAAUUUACACAAAAAUGUACCUGAAGAAAUCACAUUUUCAGAGCCAAAGAGCUGCUACAGCUCAAAUAACAGCAAGGAGGGUGCCGUUGACUAAGAAUACAAGAUAAUACAGUAGUACAAUACUACAAAAGACAAUUGUGCAGUUGUAAGAUAUUUGUAUGUGCUGUCUUACAUGUAUUUAUCUGGAGCCUGGUAACUUUAAUUAACAGCAUCCAGCGGCCACAUGAUUAAAAUGUUUGGUUUUAUAAUAAAUAUUUACACUUGA